CCGUGCCAGCAGCCGCGGUAAUACGGAGGGUGCGAGCGUUAAUCGGAAUUACUGGGCGUAAAGCGCAUGCAGGUGGUUUGUUAAGUCAGAUGUGAAAGCCCGGGGCUCAACCUCGGAAUUGCAUUUGAAACUGGCAAACUAGAGUACUGUAGAGGGGGGUAGGAAUUUCAGGUGUAGCGGUGAAAUGCGUAGAGAUCUGAAGGAAUACCGGUGGCGAAGGCGGCCCCCUCGGACAGAUACUGACACUCAGAUGCGAAAGCGUGGGGAGCAAACAGGAUUAGAUACCCCUGGUAG
rnacentral:rRNA from 1 species